rnacentral:rRNA from 1 species
GACGAACGCUGGCGGCGUGCUUAACACAUGCAAGUCGAACGGAAAGGCCCUGCUUUUGUGGGGUGCUCGAGUGGCGAACGGGUGAGUAACACGUGAGUAACCUGCCCUUGACUUUGGGAUAACUUCAGGAAAAUGGGGCUAAUACCGGAUAGGAGCUCCUGCUGCAUGGUGGGGGUUGGAAAGUUUCGGCGGUUGGGGAUGGACUCGCGGCUUAUGAGCUUGUUGGUGGGGUAGUGGCUUACCAAGGCUUUGACGGGUAGCCGGCCUGAGAGGGGGACCGGCCACAUUGGGACUGAGAGACGGCCCAGACGCCUACGGGAGGCAGCAGGCGGGAAUAUGGCGCAGUGGGCGGAAGCCUGAUGCAGCGACGCCGCGUGCGGGAUGCCCGCCUUCUAGUUGUAAACCGCUUUCGCCUUUGACGAAGCGUGAGUGACGGUAAUGGGUAAAGAAGCACCGGCUAACUACGUG